UGGGGAAUAUUGCACAAUGGGCGAAAGCCUGAUGCAGCAACGCCGCGUGAGUGAUGAAGGCCUUCGGGUUGUAAAGCUCUGUCUUUUGGGACGAUAAUGACGGUACCAAAGGAGGAAGCCACGGCUAACUACGUGCCAGCAGCCGCGGUAAUACGUAGGUGGCAAGCGUUGUCCGGAUUUACUGGGCGUAAAGGAUGCGUAGGCGGAUUUUUAAGUGAGAUGUGAAAUACCCGGGCUUAACUUGGGUGCUGCAUUUCAAACUGGGAAUCUAGAGUGCGGGAGAGGAGAAUGGAAUUCCUAGUGUAGCGGUGAAAAUGCGUAGAGAUUAGGAAGAAACACCAGUGGCGAAAGGCGAUUCUCUGGACCGUAACUGACGCUGAGGCAUGAAAAGCGUGGGUAGCAAAACAGGAUUAGAUACCCUGGUAGUCCACGCCGUAAAACGAUGAGUACUAGGUGUAGGAGGUAUCGACCCCUUCUGUGCCGCAGUUAACACAAUAAGUACUCCGCCUGAGAAAGUACGAUCGCAAG
rnacentral:rRNA from 1 species